UGGGGGAUAUUGCACAAUGGGCGAAAGCCUGAUGCAGCGACGCCGCGUGGGGGAUGAAGGCUUUCGGGUUGUAAACCUCUUUCGCUAUCGAACAAGGCCCGCUUAGGGUGGGUUGAGGGUAGGUGGAGAAGAAGCGCCGGCUAACUACGUGCCAGCAGCCGCGGUAAUACGUAGGGCGCGAGCGUUGUCCGGAAUUAUUGGGCGUAAAGGGCUUGUAGGCGGCUUGUUGCGCCUGCUGUGAAAACGCGGGGCUUAACUUCGCGCGUGCAGUGGGUACGGGCAGGCUUGAGUGUGGUAGUGGUGACUGGAAUUCCAGGUGCAGCGGUGGAAUGCGCAGAUAUCUGGAGGAGCACCGAUGGCGAAGGCAGGUCACUGGGCCAUUACUGACGCUGAGGAGCGAAAGCAUGGGUAGCGAACAGG
rnacentral:rRNA from 1 species